UGGUAUCGACUCUACUGAUUGU
rnacentral:misc_RNA from 1 species